CAGCCGCCGCGGUAAUACGAAGGGUGCAAGCGUUAAUCGGAAUUACUGGGCGUAAAGCGUGCGUAGGCGGUGAGUUAAGUCUGCUGUGAAAUCCCCGGGCUCAACCUGGGAAUGGCAGUGGAUACUGGCUCGCUAGAGUGUGUCAGAGGAUGGUGGAAUUCCCGGUGUAGCGGUGAAAUGCGUAGAGAUCGGGAGGAACAUCAGUGGCGAAGGCGGCCAUCUGGGACAACACUGACGCUGAGGCACGAAAGCGUGGGGAGCAAACAGGAUUAGAGACCCGUGUAGUCCCUGUCUCUUAUAC
rnacentral:rRNA from 1 species